GAUGAACGCUGCCAGAAUGCUUAACACAUGCAAGUCUACUUGAAUUUGGGUUUUUUAACUUAGAUUUGGGUGGCGGACGGGUGAGUAACGCGUAAAGAACUUGCCUCACAGUUAGGGACAACAUUUGGAAACGAAUGCUAAUACCUGAUAUUAUGAAUAUAUGGCAUCAUAUAAUUAUGAAAGCUAUAAGCGCUGUGAGAGAGCUUUGCGUCCCAUUAGCUAGUUGGAGAGGUAACGGCUCACCAAGGCGAUGAUGGGUAGCCGGCCUGAGAGGGUGAACGGCCACAAGGGGACUGAGACACGGCCCUUACUCCUACGGGAGGCAGCAGUGGGGAAUAUUGGACAAUGGACCAAGAGUCUGAUCCAGCAAUUCUGUGUGCACGAUGACGUUUUUCGGAAUGUAAAGUGCUUUCAGUUGGGAAGAAAAAAAUGACGGUACCAACAGAAGAAGUGACGGCUAAAUACGUG
rnacentral:rRNA from 1 species